CUCUCCGGCCGCCAUGGCGGCCGCGGGAAUUCGAUUGGAAACAGGUGCUAAUACCGUAUAAAACUUAGUAUCGCAUGAUAUCAAGUUGAAAGGCGCUACGGCGUCACCUAGAGAUGGAUCCGCGGUGCAUUAGUUAGUUGGUGGGGUAAAGGCUUACCAAGACGAUGAUGCAUAGCCGAGUUGAGAGACUGAUCGGCCACAUUGGGACUGAGACACGGCCCAAACUCCUACGGGAGGCUGCAGUAGGGAAUCUUCCACAAUGGGCGCAAGCCUGAUGGAGCAACGCCGCGUGUGUGAUGAAGGCUUUCGGGUCGUAAAGCACUGUUGUAUGGGAAGAAAUGCUAAAAUAGGGAAUGAUUUUAGUUUGACGGUACCAUACCAGAAAGGGACGGCUAAAUACGUGCCAGCAGCCGCGGUAAUACGAUAAUCACUAGUGAAUUCGCGGCCGCCUGCAGGUCGACCAUAUGGGAGAGCUCCCAACGCGU
rnacentral:rRNA from 1 species